rnacentral:antisense_RNA from 1 species
CUGCCCGGGGCCGGGGGAAGGAAGCCAGCCGAGGAGACGCACGUGCCCUGAGUCCGGGAGCGGGGAGCCUCUUCAUCUCUCCAUCCUCCCUCCGCGCGCGCCCUCAGCCGUCCUCGUCCGCUCACCAUGCACCUCCCCCCCAAGAAAGGACCACAUGCGUGCCAGGGACGUGAGCCCCGGCCACAGGGACAUAGCAGCCUAGAAGGUAUACCAGGAACACUUAAUCAACAUCCUGCAUGGUUCCAGCAAAGACGUUAAGACAGUUGGGACUGUUGGUGAGGACAGAUGAUCUUCACAAACCCUCUGACUCUAAGAGCCUGGGAGACCUGCUGGAGUUUACCCCACAUUCCCUUAAUUAAAAAGCCAUUAAAAUAGUCAACUUUGCUGGGCA